UUUUUUUCAAUUUUCCAAUUCUUUGGCGUGCACCUCCAACAAAUGUUGAACCCCAAAGCUUUCUUCCCGAAGACCUCCAACUCUUUCUCUCUUCCCUCUCGCUCAUCUCUCCCUCUCUCUUUCCCGUGAACCCCAAAUCUUGAACCACCACACGAAUCUCUCCCUCUCUCUUUCUCGUAGACCACCACGCGAAUCUCUCCCCCUCAUUCUAAACGACGGGCCGCCACGCUCUCGAAGCCGACGCGAAUCAAGUCCCAAAAUCAAGGUGAGCAAUUUAAAGUUGAAGAACCCUAUCCAGAGGUAAGGCAGGGCAAGCAGAUGACGGCGCAGAUGAUGGCCCAGAGCGAGCAGAGGAGGGCGCAGCUGAGGGCCCAGGGCGAAGAGAUGAGGAACUAUGCCGGGACGGUGCGAGACCUUGUACAAGCCAUACAGAUGUCCAGCCUCCAAAUCUCGCUACCACCACCUCAUCUUGCUCCACCUUCGACCUCAGCGCCACCUUGCCUUGCCGAUACCCAGUAGCCUGAUGUAUUAAACCUAGUUCACUUGUAGUUUUUCUUUUUUGUUUGGACAUCUUGUAUGUACAUUUUCAUAUAUUUUAUAAUUAAAUACUUUUGCUUGGUUAA